GACGAACGCUGGCGGCGUGCCUAACACAUGCAAGUCGAGCGCUGAAGGGUGGUUUUUGUAUCAACUGGACGGGCGGCGAACGGGUGAGUAACGCGUGGGGAAUCUGCCUUUGAGCGGGGGACAACAUUUGGAAAGGAAUGCUAAUACAGCAUAAAAACUUUAAACACAAGUUUCAAGUUUGAAAGAUGCAAUUGAAUCACUCAGAGAUGAUCCCGCGCUGUAUUAGCUAGAUGGUGAGGUAAAGGCCCACCAAGGAGAGGGUACAUAGCCGAGCUGGGAAGGUGGUCCACCCCAUUGGGAACGGGACACGGCCCAAACUUCUACGGGGGGCAGCCAGAGGGAAUCAUCGGCAAUGGACGGAAGGCUUGCCGAACAACGCCGCGUGAGUGAAGAAAGGUUUCGGAUCGUAAAACUCUGUUGGUAGGGGAGAACGGGGGGGAGGGUGGAAAGCUCAUCUAGUGACGGUAACUACCCAAAAAGGGACGGCUAACUACGUG
rnacentral:rRNA from 1 species